rnacentral:rRNA from 1 species
UACGGAGGGGACUAGCGUUGUUCGGAAUUACUGGGCGUAAAGCGCACGUAGGCGGAUUUGUAAGUCAGGGGUGAAAUCCCGGGGCUCAACCUCGGAACUGCCUUUGAUACUGCAAAUCUCGAGUCCGGAAGAGGUGAGUGGAAUUCCUAGUGUAGAGGUGAAAUUCGUAGAUAUUAGGAAGAACACCAGUGGCGAAGGCGGCUCACUGGCCGGUACUGACGCUGAGGUGCGAAAGCGUGGGGAGCAAACAGG